GUAGGAGCCGAGCUUGCUCGCGAUGGCGUCGUAUCAGUCACGCUGUUCAGUGAGUGAAGGAACGCCAUCGCGAGCAAGCUCGGCUCCCAC
rnacentral:antisense_RNA from 1 species